rnacentral:lncRNA from 1 species
CUUACUAUAAAUCACCACCACCUCCAAAGCAUUCUCCCCCUCCACCUUACUAUUAUAAAUCACCACCUCCACCAAUGAAGUCUCCACCUCCGCCAUAUUACUAUAAAUCACCACCACCACCAAAGCAUUCUCCCCCGCCACCUUACUAUUAUAGAUCUCCACCACCACCAAAGCAUUCUCCCCCACCACCUUACUACUAUAAGUCACCACCUCCACCGAAGAAAUCCCCACCUCCACCAUAUUAUUAUAAGUCGCCACCACCACCAAAGCAUUCUCCCCCACCUCCUUAUUAUUACAAAUCUCCACCACCACCAAAGUAUUCUCCACCACCACCUUACUAAUACAAAUCUCCACCAACGCUAUCUCUAUCCCCACCUCCAUCUUACAUUUAUAAAUUCCCACCUCCACCAUCUAUAUCACCUCCACCACCACCUCCAUCACUGUCACUAUUGCCUCGCUACUGUUCCAAGUCAUCACCACCUCCUGAAGACUACUAAGUUCAAUGUUCCGUCUUCAAACAAAUUUAAAAUUCAAUAAGAAUAAAUUUGUUCCUUCAGUUGCCUUUUUCAUGAAUUUUUAUGUUAAUGUUUUUACGAAUAAUUUUUAAGAAGCGUUCGGUGUAUCAUUGUCAUGUGCAAUAAAAAUUUUCUAACUUAAUGUACCCAAAAAAAAAUGUUCCACAAGAAAUAUUCUAUUGUUUUAUCACAAAUGUGUUGUGGCACAUGUAAUGCGCCUAGAUAAAGUAAUAUUAUGUCUUGAUGAACAAUCAUGCACAACAAUGAUCAUGUACAUAGUUCUUCCAAUGUCAUGAUAAUGUCCAUGCACAUAAUAACAAACUUCUUCCUUGUAAUAUCAAAGAAAAUGAAUAUACAAGCCUCUUAUUCUCUAAUCAUUCACUCAAACAACAUUGUUUUAAUUUAGGUUUUGAUCAAUCUUAAUGCUCAUAAAUGCUAACUACAAAUCAUAUACAAGAUCAACAAAAACCAUAUUUUAAAUGAAUUAGAAAAACAAACAUUAGACUUAACCAAGUAGUUAACCUUUAUUAUUCUCCUAGGUAGAUUACAAGCUAUCACUGAAAAAAAAAAUCAUCUAAAAUGGUGAACAAAUGCGCUCUAAAUCAGUUGCAUUCAUUUGUUCAGCUAAGCAAUAAAAUAACCCUUUUCCAUUUUAACUUAUAUACUUUGGCAUGGUAACUUUAAAUAACACCCUCAACUUGACAAAUUUUAAUAACCAAAGCGAUCAAUAACUGUAAAUCUUGACAAAAUUUUUUACUUUAGUUAAAGCCAUAAACAUAGUAUUAAAUAAAAUGAAAAAAAAGGCCAUAAACAUAGUGUUGAAAUACCUUUAUACUUGUGAACUAACUUUUGAUGUUGAUUAAGCUCAUGUACCCUCAACUUUUGUAUUAUGAAUAUGCUUAUGCCCUAUCUUAGGUCUCCUCUAUGAACUCCUCCAUGAACCACUUUUUUUUUUUUUUUUAAAAAAUAAAUUCAUUAUGAUACUAAGGUAUAAGCAGAAGUAAAAUUCCUUUAAUAUUAUUGUAAUCAGGAUGUGGCUACCUAGGUGAUACAUGAAUUGGUUAUUUGUACAUUUUACUACAUUUUUUUGAGUUUGCUUGCUAUUUUUCUCUUUGUUCCAAUAAUUCCCACACGAGGAUAAUCUCAUUUUAACAAAGAAAGAUACUACUGAAAUACAACAAAACAUAAAUUCUAAUAUACUAGAAAAUUUUUUUUUCUUUGCCUUUUCAUAUCUUAGAGUUAUGUUUUUAUCCUCUUGUAGUGGCAUAUAUGCAUUUUAACUAGAAUAUUCUUAUUUGAGAAUUAUUAAUAAGAGAGUGGUAGACAAAUGAUACAAAACUAUGCUGCUUCACGAUUAACAACACAUUCAAUCGAGUAACGAUAGAGAGUCAAUUCUAACACCACGAGAAAGCAAACAAAAGUUGAAAUAUUUUAGCGAAUACCUUUUAAAGUUUGAAUUAAUAAUAAAAUUGUCCCAAAAAACUGCCUUAAUGGAAUUAAUGUGGAGAUUUAGUGGUAGGGUGCAUCAAUAUCAUUUUCCAGAAAAAAAAUAGUCAAAAUAUGAAAGGUUUGUUCUGCAGGUGGUUGAUAUUGCUGUACAUUAAUAUCAAUGAUACGUACCAAAUUCUAUUAUAAAAUUCAUUAAUGUAUAAGUAGAAUAUUUAAUAAAUUAAUUCCGGGUAAAACGUCGGUGAUAUGAACAGUAGCGAAGCUGCAACCGGGUUAGCUUUUUUUUUUAAUAAAAAAAUAGUUAAUUAUAAUUUAUGAAUUUGCCUUUAUUAAUACUUAAAAAAAUAAAAAUAAAUUUAAUAGCCCACCCCGAUGCUAGCUAAGCUAAAAAUAAAAUAUAUCGAAUAAAUGGUGAAGAGAAAGCUGUAAUAAUUAUCGUAAUUACAGUGAGAAGCUGUAAUUUUCUUGAACACGCUUUGACGUACGAUUAGCAAAAAAGUCGUCUGUCUAUAAGCAAUUGGCCGUACAGCAUCUUAACUAUUCCGUUGACAUUGUAAUUAAUUAAUUGAUGACUUUUCUAUAAUUUCUUUGAACCAAAUGCAGAUAUUUAGUGGGCAACCCGCAACCCUUGCUUGGCAAAAUAUAGGAAAGAAAAACUUGAAAUUUAUAAAUGUUACAUUUUGUUUGGAUGAAUAAUUUUGAGAUAAUGUUUCAGUUUUAGAUUUUGUUACCGAUACCUAAUUAUAAUAAUAAAAAAUAUUGCAUCAUUUUUUUACCAACAGUUACAAUACAUUUUAUUUUUUUUUCUUCUCAAUAUUUAAACUCGAAUAAUCAGUUAAAAGUUGCUCGAGAAUGUUUAAAAGCCAUUUAAGUAUACCACGUCAUUCAUGUUUUGCAAUCAUUCAAUUGUUAAUAAGUUUCCCAUGUGCUGAAAAUAAAUAAAAAUGCACGUGCAUAUGUCAUAUUGUCUCCGAAACCUCACAGCGGAAUGAGUGUAGUACUUGCAAUGCAUGUACUUUAGACUUUGUAUUUCUCUUAUUUAAAUGAUCAAUAAUUUUUCUUUGUCCUUUAAUUAGACGUCAACAGUCGAAGUUGUGGGCAAGUAGUAGGCUAUAUAUAAUAAUUUCCUGGAGAUCUUCCGUCUUCUAAGACAUUGCAAAUGCCAAACGUGAUAACUAUUUUGAUAAUUCAAAUACUACAUAAAAUAUAUGAAGUGUCAGACAAGUCAAAAGAAUUGAUUCUUCACAAUUGUAUAUACGUAUACACACACUUUGCCCAAAUCCCAUUGUAUCCAGGCUGUAAUUUUUAUAUUAAACGAACAUAUUUUAUUUUAUGUCAGCAAUAUUGAUGCAGGCUGGUGGAACAACAGCUUCAGGAUGGUCAACUACCCUUCGGAUCAUUGCAAGUGGGAUGGCAUCACUUGCAAUUCAGAUGGAACCAUAAUCGGGCUAAAAUUAUCAGGGUAUGAUGUUGACUUCAAAAGGUAGUCUUCGUAAAAUUAUCAUGGUAUAAUAUACGUAUUUAUUUUCGCAUACAUAAAUAAAUAACAAAAUUGUAAUUAAUUGGAUACAACUUCAGCUUUUGGACUGGUUUGUGAAAAUCGGAAAAAUUUAAAAAUGCUCCUCUUGAACAAUCAAAAUCUACUUUAUACGUGAACAAAGGGGAUGAUUCGUAAAGAUAAUUCAUCAAUGUUUGAUUACUUUCAGAAAGAUAGACUUCAUUUGAUCUCGUCCCAAAGCAUAAUUUCACUUUGAAUUUGAAAAAGAAUAAUGAAGUUCAUACGAUGCUGUUGUGACCUUUUUUUUUUGUUUUCUUUUUUUCUCGACGUUGUUUUGUGAAUCAUAAGGGUUAAUUUAGUACGGUGGGUUCGCUUGUAUGAAGCGUACUUAUUGUACCAUUCUGUUGCAAGUAAUGAAAAAACGCUAUAAUUUUUUUUAGGUUUCUACAAGUAUUAUGUUAUCUUAUAUCUAACUGUGCAUCUCUAUUCUUUGCUCUCAGUUCAGGUUCUCUAAAAGUAUAUUAAUUAUGAAAAGCAUUAAAGGUUCCGAAACUCUAUUUUGCGGGGAAAAAGAACCUCCAUUUUUGGUUUUUUAUUAUCAUAAGAGGUUUUACUAUGCUCGUAAUAACUUAAUCGAAAUUAAACAUAUCACUGGUCUACAUUUUUUUAUCAGAUUUUGUGCCUUGCUAAUUAAGAUGAGUAUCACCAUCAAAUCAACAAGCUUAUACCUUCAAAGAAAAAUAGACUAUAAGUCGGGAGAAAGAAGAAGAAAAAAAAAAAGAAGCUUCGCAAUUUAUGCUGUUGGUUGUGAGUUCAUGAAACAAAUAAAAAUAUGAAAUCAAACAUUUAUUCAAAAUUUAAAAUUAAAAAAAAAACUCUAUAUCUACAGUAAUCUGUUCAAACCACAUAGGUGGAGCAAUAUAGUUCCAAGACGUGGUUUUAAAACAUGUCUUUGUGAUAAACAAUAUCGUGAUACUUGCGCCAAUUCCCAUGGCAAUAAUUGCCUACAUUUAUCCAAGAUCCAUGGCCAGGUUUAGAAUGUGCUAGUCUUCUUUCACUUUCAUAAAUAACCACUACUAGGUAAUCAGAGUGUCGGUCUAAAUUUUUCGGAGAUACAACGUCAAUGUAUGUGCCCGGAGUUGAAGCUGAACGCGCUUAAAUAUGUUCGGAAUUUGAAGUUGAACGCCUGGAAAAGGAUGCAGACUGAAGAAAGGCAAUUCCUGGAAUUUGUCUUUGGUAAGAAAACAUGGCUGCUUAUGCCCUUUGAAAGACUGAAGAAACCAAAUUGAUUAUUGCUGCAAUUUAGUGGCACAUGUACGAGGAGAGGCAUCCAAUUAAACUUGUUCAUAAAAGUAUUGCUGAUAGUUGCAGCCGAUCUCCAGACAAAAUCUUCGUACAAUUUUAUCCGCCAGCAAUUUCGACCAAGAGACCUUGAUGCAGUUCAGACCAAUUCGCCAGUUGAACAUCAAGUUGCCUAGGCAUUGAGAAUUAGGUCAAUAAAAUAUAUCCUGGGUCACUUACAAAAGAUGAAAUAAGUGAAAAAGGAAAGAUGACGUAAUAAUUUCUUAGUGAGAAAAGUUAGUUAAUUUUCAAUUGCUUUCAUUGUUUUGAUAAUUUUCAAAACAUUUCAUUGCUUUCAUUGCGUAAUUAAGCUUUUUUUGCUUCAAAAUAUUUCAAAUUGUGUUUGUGGGACUACUAAACAAUUAGGACACAACAAUGUUUCGUUCUGGUCUUUUUUUUUUUUUACUUUUUAAUUUAUUUUAAGAAAAUCUUUGUCCAUCUCUCAUCCUGCCAAAUAUAUCGUCUCGUCUUGUUAUCUAGAAUAAUUCUUCAUGCAUCAAUGAGUUUUGACAAAUUUUUAUCUUUUAAAAGUUGUUGUAAUUCAAUAUAGCUAAAAUCUUAAAUACAUACAUGUAGAAUAAUCUAAGCAUUACCUUAUUCGGGGAAAAUCGAGAUUAGAAUCAAUCAAAGCAAUGAUACCUUAUAUCAGUGAGAUAUAUGCAAGACUCACCCAUUGGUACAAACGAAAAUGAUCAAAGUGGAAGCAAAAAUGGAAUCCUCAAAUGUGGUGAUAAUUUAGAUGAUCUCCACUCUCCAUUUGGUUUCAUCUAAUAAGUUAGUGUUUAAUUAAGAAUUUAUUACUCAUUUUAUUAUGAUAUUAAUCAACUGCCGUCCCUUCCAUUAGUUCAUUAUUUUUGAUGGAUUACGAAAGACAGACAAUAAAAUUCUCCAAAACUGUUGUAAGAGUAAUAUUGUAAAAGUUACAUAAAAGUGAGGAUAAGGAUAAUUUGAGGUAUGUUUCAAGAUAUAAAGAUUAAAUAAAUUCUUAACUCAAAAUAAAGAGAUUUAUUUUUUUUAAAAGAGAUUAAAAUGUCAUGAUAAAUAAAUAAGGGAGGUGAUAUUCUGGGCUCUCCCCUGGCUUUUUGUGAUAACAUCUUAAAUUAAUAUAAAUAGUUAAAAUUUUAUUAAAAAAUAAAUUUUUACCUAAUACUCUUUGACAUAGCUAGGAAUAUAGCCUACUUGCAAGAGACUUACAUUCGUUUGCACAGCCCUUUCGUGAAUAUAAAAUUGCUGCCGAAUAAGCAUCUAAUUAAAAGAAUUAGGAAUUUGUCAACGGUAUAAAUUAAAUAUAAAAAACGAGUAAAAGAAUUUGUCAAUGGGAUAUGGGGGGCUAUGGCUUCAAUCGUAGGGGUGGGCAAAUUUCGGAUUCCGAAUCCGAUCGGAUUUUGGAUAAUUCGGAUUGGGAAAAAAUCCAUCCAAAUUCAAUCCGAACCUUAAAUCUGUUUCGAUCCGAGAUAAUUUCGGAUCCGGAUCAGAUUCGGAUGAGUUUGAAUUUCAGAUUAUAUUUCAAGUUCGGAUUAUAUUUUGGAUUCGGAUUAAUUCGGGUUUGGGACCUUUUUACAAUUCUCACAAAAAAAUUAUGAAAUUUAUAAUUAAUGAAAAAUAAUUUCCAUGAUGCUGUCAACAAUAAUUAAUAUUUUGAAAACGCAAUAACGGAAUUUUCAAAAAAAAGAAAAAGAAAACACAGGAACGGUAUUGAUAAAGAAUUUUCAUUAGCCAUUUGUGACUGCUAACUAAAUUGUAACAACUAAGUAAAAUAUAAUAAUAAUAAUAAUACAUGCGGGUAUAUUCAAAGCAACUAAAUCACUUGCGAAUGAUCAAGACAAAUCGUAUAAACAAGUAAAAAAUUCAAAGUUUCAAACGCAAAUCGUCGGGGGCUAUCGGAUUAGUGGAUUACCAUUAACAAGACGAGGUUUAUGUCGGUGUGAGUUGCUCAUUGUGGGUCUGGAUGAUGUCGCGAUGGCUGGGUUUGUGCCAACUAUGAUCCAGCUAGGUUUGUAUCGAAUCUGAUCUCGUCUAGAGGACGUUGUGGCGGCUGGGUUUGUGUCGAAUUCAUUCGGUUUGUCUCGUCGGCGACAUGGUUGUUGGUUGGCUCGUCAGGUUGUGGCCCGUGGGUGUGGUGUGGUUUGUUGUCGUGGAUUGACUUAUCAAAGGGCGUGCGACGAUGGUGUGUGGUUUUGUCAUUUGGAAAUUGAGUUUUGAUUUUUCAUUUUCGUUUUUUUAAAAAAAAAUUUUUGGAUUAUUCGGAUUGAACUGAAUCUUAUCCGAUCCAAAUCAAAUCCGAUCAGAUUACAAAAAUUUCAUCCGAUUGGAUUUUAAAGCAAAUCCAAAUCCGAUCCGAACAAAUUCGGAUCGAAUUGGAUUAGAUCGGAUCUAUCCGAAUCUGAUCCAAUGUCCACCCCUAUUCAAUCGGUUUCUGCAAUGGUUAAUGGCAUAUUUUUGCUCAUCGUCACCACUGCAUUCACUAAUCAUUUGUGCACGUGAAUUGUUUUUGAGCAUUUAUUUUGCCUUCGUUAAAAUUGGGCAUGUAAAAAUUUCAUGAAAAAUGGCCAAAGUGGCUGGCUAGGUGAUAUAAUGGAUGGUUACAACUCAAACCUAGCAAUAAAUGAAUGUCCGACAAGCAUUCAAAUGAAUGUAUAAAACCAAUGAGAUUAGAAUAUCUAUUUAUAAUAGACUAAUUAAAAUACGAUUCAAAUAUAAGGUAAAUAGUCUCUCUAUUAAUUUUUUAUUGUUUCAGGUAGGGUUGUCGAGCCUUUGUCCGGGCUUCUGUAAGCCCAUUUCCAGCCCUCUUAUAUGAUUGGAUUAGAUCAGGCUCGGCCCACCAGGCCGGGCUAAAUCUUGAGCUCUUUUUAAAUAAAAAAAAGUUGAAUUUUAAGUUUUUGAAGUUAAUAUAUAUACACACACACUUGUACUUAAAUAAUUUAUAAAUUUUUUAAAAGCCAAAUAAUAAAAAUAUUGACAUGUAAAAGUACAAUUUUUUUUUCAUGUGGAAUAAUUAUCUCAUUUCUACCUUUUUGGUCCUAUAGAUAUUUCCUCAUUUCAUCUUUGGUAUUAGAGCAGUAGUAAAAAGACACACGAUUAAAGAUAAAUGUGACAUUUUUACCGACAAAUUAACUAUUUGGAUCUAAGAUCUAGCUCUAAUGGUAAAGACUAGUUUUUAUAGAAUUCAGGUCCUGGGUUUGACUUCCAAUUGCGUGGGUAAGCUAAUAAUAAUAAUAAUAAUAAUAACAAAUUAACUAGUUUUAAUUUGCAAAGGUCUUAGAUAAUCAAUUCGUUUGUAAAAACAUCAAAUUUAUUUUCAGUAAUGAAAUUUUCAAGUCACUGGUUUUAGCACUAGGAAUGAAUUAAAUAGAGUAAUGAUAAACAUCUUAAAAUUUUAUCCCAAAUGAUAUGACAUGUAAUGUGUCAUUUAUUAAGUGGUUGGUGAUUUUUCAUAAAUUUUAAGUCGAUUAAUUAUAUUAUUUCACCAACCAAUAAAUGAACAUCACAUCAUUUGAGAAUGAAUUUUAAGGUAAAAUUUUAGAUAUAUAUCAUUACUCAAUUAUUUUUUAUAGUAUAAAAUCUAAUAGGGACCAAAAAUAUAAAAACCAAUUAAGAAAAAAAAAGUCAAUUCCUAAUUAGAAGAAUGAAAGUGUCAUUCUCCUAUAAUCAUUUCUCAAGUUUUUAUAUAAAUUUAUUAAUGCAAAAUUUUAAAAGAAAAUCGGUACCUAAAACUAACGCCUUUGACAAUGCUGCCAAUAUCACUCACAACUUACAAGAAUAAAGAAUUUGUAUUAAAUUUAUUAAUGUUCUCAAAGAAUUUUUAGUUUUGACUUUACAUUCUCAGACCCAUUUGUCACAUAACAUCUUAGCUGAUUAACAAAGCCCUUUCGUGAGAAUAUUAAAACUGCUCUCGAAUAAGCAUCUUAACAACCCCGUUUUUGACAUACAUGCAUGCCUCCUCAUGUCAGCAAAUUUGAAACAUAAAAGAUAAUUUCAAUCGAUGUGAGAGUUGGGAGUAUUUUAUAGCUUUUGACCUCAUUAAUUAUGAGUAAGAGAAUAUUUCUACGUCACUAAUGAUUAAAAUGAUCACUAUAUAUAUAAAGGGUAGCAAAGUAUGUUUAACAUCAAGUCAGAAAACACAAUUUUUAGGAAAUGGGAACUCGGGGACAGGCGAGGCAAUGGCCUCAAUUGUUUUGUGCUAUAGCAUUUUUGCUUAUAGCCACCACGACCAAGGCAUCGGCUGAUGAUUAUGCCUCAGCACCACCACCAAAGUAUUCUUCUCCACCUCUUUACUACUACAAAUCACCACCUCCUCCUUCUCCCUCUCCACCUCCACCAUAUUAUUACAAGUCUCCCCCACCACCAUCUCCGUCUCCUCCACCACCUUACUACUACACGUCACCACCGCCACCAGUGCAUUCUCCCCCGCCACCUUACUACUACAAGUCACCACCGCCACCAGUGCAUUCUCCUCCGCCACCUUACUACUACAAAUCUCCGCCGCCACCAAAGCAUUCUCCCCCGCCACCUUACUACUAUAAGUCACCACCACCACCAGUGCAUUCUCCCCCGCCACCUUAUUACUACAAAUCUCCGCCGCCACCAAAGUAUUCUCCCCCGCCACCUUAUUAUUACAAAUCUCCGCCGCCACCAAAGCAUUCUCCUCCACCACCUUACUACUACAAAUCUCCACCACCACCAAACCAUUCUCCCCCACCACCUUACUACUAUAAGUCACCACCACCACCAAAGCAUUCUCCCCCACCUCCUUAUUACUACAAAUCUCCACCACCACCAAUGUAUUCUCCACCACCACCUUACUAAUACAAAUCUCCGCCAUCGCCAUCUCUAUCCCCGCCUCCAUCUUACAUUUAUAAAUUCCCACAACCAUCAUCUAUACCACCUCCACCAUGACCUCUAUCACGGUCAUUAUUGCUUCCUUACUACUCCAAGUCACCGCCAACUCCUUUAUCUCCACCUUCACCGUAUUACUACAAUCACCCCCACCUCCCAAAGACUACUACGUUCAGUAUCCCUUCUUGAAACAAGUUUAAAAUUCAAUAAGAAUAAAUUUGUUCCUUUGGUUGCCUUUUUUUUUAAUUUUUUACUAAGUUCAAUGCCCCUUCUUGAAACAAGUUUCAAAUUCAAUAAGAAUAAAUUUGUUCCUUUGGUUGCCUUUUUAUGCUUUUUUGUGUCAAUUUUUUUACAAAUAAUUUGUAAGAAGCGUUCAGUGCAUCAUUUGUCAUGUGCAAUAAAAAUCUUCUAACUUAAUGUAUCCCCAAAAAAAAAAAAAAAAAUUGUUCUAUAAGAAUUAUUCUAUUGUUUUAUCACAAAUGUGUUGUGGCGCAUAUAAUGCUCCCGGAUGAAGUAAUAUUAUGUCUUGAUGAACAAUCAUGCACAACAAUGAUCAUGUACAUAGUUCUUCCAACGUCAUGAUAAUGUCCAUGCACAUAAUAACAAACUUCUUCCUCAUAAUAUCAAAGAAAAUGAAGAUACAAGCCUCUUAUUCUUUAGUCAUUCACUCAAACAACAUUGUUUUAACUUAGGUUUUGAUCAAUCUUAAUGCUAAUAAAUGCUAACUACAUAUCAAAUACAAGAUCAACAAAAACCAGAUUUUAAAUUAAUCAGAAAAACAAACACUAGACUUAACCAAGCAGUUAAGCUUUAUUAUUCUCCCUCAGUAAAGGAUACAAAGAUGUAGGUGGAUUACAAGCUAUCACUGAAAAAAUAGAAAUCAUCUAAAAUGGUGAACAAAUGAGCUCUAAAUCUGUUGCACUCAUUUGUUCAACUAAGCAAUGAAAUUACCCUUUUCUAUUUUAACUGCUUGUCUACUUUAACACGGCAACUUUAAAUAACAACCUUCAACUUGAAAAAUUUGAGUAACCAGAGCCAUCAAUAACGGUAAAUCUUGACAAAAAUUUUAGUUUAAUUAAGGCCAUAAACAUAAUAUUAAAUAAUAAAAAAAAAAGGCCAUAAACAUAGUGUUGAAAUACCAUUAUACCUGUGAACGAACUUUUGAUGGUUAUUAAACUCAUGAACCCUCAAUUUUUGUAUUAUGAAUAUGCUCAUGGCCUAUCUUAGGUCUCCUCUAUGAACCACUUUUUUUUUAAAAAAAUUAUAUUCAUUAUGAUACUAAGGUAUAAGUAGAAGUAAAGUUCUUUUAAUAUUUUUGUAACCAGGAUGUGACAACCUAGGUGAUACGUGAAUUGGUUAUUUGCACAUUUUGCUACAUUUUUGUGAGUUUGCUUGCUGGUUUUCUCUUUGUUCCAACAAUUCACACAUAGGAUAAUCUCAUUUUAACAAAGAAAGAUACCACUAAAAUACAACAAAACAUGAUCAAUUCUAAUAUACUAGAAAACUUUUUUUUUUUGUUUGCCUUUUCAUAUAUUAGAGUUGUGUUUUUGUUAUCUUAUAGUGGCAUCUAUGCAGUUUAACUAAAUGAGAAUAUUCUCAUUUGAGAAUUAUUAAUAAGAGAGUAGUAGACAAAUGAUACCCAACUAUACUGCUUCACUAUUAACAACACAUCCAAUUGAGUAAUGAUAGAGAGUCAAUUCUAUCACCAAAUGAAAGCAAACAAAAGCUGAAAUAUUUUAGUGAAUAUCUUUAAAGUUUGAAUUAAUAAUAAAAUUGUCCCAAAAAACUGUCUUAAUGGAACUAAUGUGCGAUUUAUUUGUAGGGUGAAUAAAUAUCAUUUUCCAGAAAAAAAUAUAGUCAAAAUAUGGAAAGCUUGUUCUGCAAGUGGUUGAUAUUGAUGUACAUUAAUGUCAAAGAUACAUUAAGUGCAUGCCAAAUUCUAUUAUAAAAUUUAUAAAUGUAUAAGUAGAAGAUUUUAUAAAUUAAUUCCUGUAAAACGUCGGUUAUAUGAAUAAAUGGUGAAGAGAAAGCUGUAAUAAUUAUCGUAAUUACAAUUUUCUUGAGCACGCUUUGACGUACGAUUAACAAAAAAGGUCUGUAUAUGAGCAAUCGGCCGUACAUUAUCUUAACCACCUGAUUUUGUUUUUUUUUUUUGUAAUUUCAAUCUUGGCCGUUGGAGUCAAUGAAAAGAUCGUUCAAAUGGUAGAGAUUUGUCUAUUUGAUUAUUAACAUUAUGCUUCCCGAUGGUUAUCAAAAACCCAAACAAAUUAAAGAGUUAAAACUUUUAGCACAUAAGUCCGAAUUGUUUCAAAUUUAUGUUGUUUAAUCACUAGUGAGUCUCAAAAAAUAAAUUUAUUUUAAUAUUAUAUAUUUUAUUUAAAAGAAUUAAUUUUUUAUAUCAUUUAUUUUAUUAAAAAUAAAUAUUAUUGAAUACUAAUUAUUCUCAUUUUAUUUAAUAUUAUUUAGUUAUAGGCUUAUUAUUAUAUUUAAUUGUUCAAAAAACUAAAAAAAUUUAAAUAAAAUAAAGUAAUUGAUGGUUGUCGAAGCCAACAAAAAUAAAUUCCUACUCUAAAUAAAUUGUGUAUAGUGAUUGAGCAGGGUCGUGUCCACAGAGAUCGGUAAUUAUUUAAAUCCUUUUGAAACGUAAAACGUAAAAUGGGGGAAUUGUUGACAAUAAUAAAAAUCAAAUUAAAAUAACAAGAAUGCAAAUUAAAGUUGUAAUUCAAAUUGGAGAAAGCUCUGGUUGAAGGAAUUAACUCAGCUUGAUUCGACUACUGAUCAUUGAUUCAAAUAUAGAUUAUUAUUACUCAUGAAUAGACCGGUUAUAGCUACUGAGACCCUCUAAUAGCCAAUCUCUCCUUAACUAGUCGAUAACCAAGGUACGACCGUUGGAUAUUCCCUAAUCAAUAGACAACCCUAGAUACGAUCAUAGAAUUUAAUCAAUUGACAGCCUGAAAAACCAGAAAGACCCAAAUCCUAAUCAACACAUAUGAUGAUUCAUUUAAAUUAAAUUGUUUAUUCUCACAACACAACUCUCUGCUAUGUCAUUUGUCACAAACAUUAAAUUCUUCAUACGAUGAAUCCCUUAAUUGACAAUAGAUUAAGUUGAUAAUUAAAUAGUGGCCAACUGCUGUACGGCCAAGGCGGAUGUACGGUACAGCAGAAUACAUUCCCUUACUCAACUAACAAAGUCUUUCAUUUAUCUGAAAACAGUUCCAAUUUUGAAAUAUCAGUGUCAAACUUUUCCCAGCAACAUAUUUAUCAUCUCUCCACAUUAUCCUUAACUGACAGCAGCUUGGAAGAUCUUCAAUCAGCAAGUUCAGAAAGCAAUGAACAAGUACCUUCUGUUUCUGCACACACAAAUAAUCUGCAUCAACAAGAGCAUUCUNNNNNNNNNNNNNNNNNNNNNNNNNNNNNNNNNNNNNNNNNNNNNNNNNNNNNNNNNNNNNNNNNNNNNNNNNNNNNNNNNNNNNNNNNNNNNNNNNNNNNNNNNNNNNNNNNNNNNNNNNNNNNNNNNNNNNNNNNNNNNNNNNNNNNNNNNNNNNNNNNNNNNNNNNNNNNNNNNNNNNNNNNNNNNNNNNNNNNNNNNNNNNNNNNNNNNNNNNNNNNNNNNNNNNNNNNNNNNNNNNNNNNCAGCAGAAUAAAAUAUUAUUAAUUUUAUUUUUUUUAUUUUGCUAUCUUACUAAUAAUUGGCAAUAAUAAUAAUAAUAAUAAUAAUAAUAAUAAUAUCUUUAAGGUUAAUGAUUUUAUUUUCUAAUUAAUAUGGAUAAUUUUAGAUUUUUAUAAUAUAUAUGACGAUAAACACGAAAUUAAGUAUAAAACUAAUUCUCAAAAUCCGAUUUUAAAAAUCUACUUUUUCCCUACUUUUUAAAAUCUUCAGUAAGAUAAGGUAAAUUUACCAAAAGUGAUUUCUGAAAAUAUUUAUCAAAUAAUAAAAUUAAUUUGUAACUUUUCAAAAUAACUUUUAAAUCUCGCAAAAAAAAAUCCUAAAUGAGUCCUAAGUACCUAACUUUAUGACGGUCAACAAAUAUGGUAUAAAAGUCUUCUACACCUACUGGGCAUUUGAAUGGGCCAUCUGUCUUAGCUCUUACCUCUUAAAAUGGGCUAAAAAUCAGAGAGUCAGUUAACUAAUAUGGGCUAAAAUUUGGGUACACCUCUCGGGCAUGUUAAUGGGCCAUCAUCUUUCACAGGUUUCUAAAGGGUAAAGGCUUUCUGUCUCCCAAGACUUCGACUAGUGAAAUUUAAUCGAUAUAAAUAUGUAGCUACCUAUAUUUAUAUAAGAAAAUGAUGUUCUCAUAAAUUUGCGUGCAAAGAUUUGCACAAAACGGUGCGUUUUGUGCAGCUUUAAAAAUGCUCUUCGUACGUGCACCAAACAACACACAAGCACGCCAAUUCACAACAUCAUUUUCCCACUCGCGUCUGCCUCCUUUCACUGCAACAAAAACCCAGCAGCUUCGUUCUCCACACAGCAAGAAGUCUCCUUAUUAAUAUAAUAUUAUAUAAUAAACUCAACAGAAGUCUCCUUUCUUCCUCCAUUUUUCCUCACGAGAUAGCUCCGAUCUCUCUCCCUCCGUCCUCCUUUCUUCCUUACAAGACAGCUCGGGUCUCUCUCUCUGGCCUCCUUUCUCCCUCACAAGAUAGUUCGGAUCUCUCUUUCCAGUCUCCACGCCGCUAAUAGUCCCAGUUCUAACCUCUCUCGCCCCGCAGCAACCAUAAGAUCUCUCUCUCACCCGUUUCAAUUCAUUGCUCUAAUUGAAAUCUUUAACUCGUUUAGGACAUUGUGCUGAAUUACCUAUGGAUGGUGGUGGUCUUAUGCUUGAGUGUUGUAAAUUAGAAUCAAAUUAUGCAAAACCUGAUGCCUUUGGGAAUCAUGUUUAUUUCAAGCUUCUAUGUUGUGAUUUGAUUAUUUGAUGAAGCACCUGGAAAAUGUAGUUUGCUCCCUCAAAUUAUUUUACUCUGUUGAAUAAAUUGUAUUUGCCAUUAUUUGAAAAGAAUUUAAAAAAAAAUUACAGCCCCGAAACAUUGAGCUUAUGCUAUAAUUUAAGCAUCUCCCUCAUUUAUAGCACAUUUAUUUUCAUAAUUUACGCGACAAUGGAGAACGGAGCCGAGACUGUUAGUGGCAUGGGGAUGAGAGAGAAAAAUAUGAGCUGUUUCGUGAGGUUUUGUUAGGUUUCGUGAGGGAGAAAGGAGAUGGGAGAGAGAGACGCUGAGUUUUGUUGCUCCCCUCACUUGUGUGUGUUUGGUGUUAAAACUUUGCAGCAAAGAGUGGCUUUUAUACUUUGCACAAAACGCACCGUUUUGUGCAAAGUUUUGUGCAAAGUGUUGUGAGAACAUCAUUUUCCAUUUAAAUAUUGGCUUUUCAUUUUUUUUCAAAUGAGAAUUGAUCCAGUGUGCACCAUCAUGCACAGCACAAGGUAUAUUUUCAUCAGUGGGCGCUAGGUCUCAUAGAUUGGUUCUCUCUAAUAAGAACAUGUCGUCUGUUGUCCCGCGCUAGAUCGAAUGCGUUUUCAAAUUUGUCAAAUUACAUUUUGAGCAUGUCAUAGUGGACGUUAUUACAAAGUCGUCAAUCUCAAUACAAUAAUCAUGACAUCAGGUUUUGAGAAUGUGAAUAAAACUCAUAUUUAUUUGAUAAAAUAUAAUUUAAAAAUAAAAAUAAAAUAUGUAUAUUCUAUAUAAUUUGAUAAUAAAAAAUAGAAAUCUCAUUUUUAUAUUGGGUUGGGAAUGAGGAUUCCUAUUUCUUGAACUGACUUUUAUAUCUCUCUAUUUUUUUCAUAUUUUUUAAAUUAUUCUCGUUUAAAUCACAAUUAAUUUGAUUACUGCUGUACGGCCAAGGCGGAUGCAAUAGAAUUGCACCUACAAAAGUAAAACAUAAGUAAAUCACUAUUAUUAAGUGCAAAACAUUGAUAUUAAGGGAAGUAAAUAAUGCAAAACUAGUGCAUAAAUUGCACUCUAACAGUAAUCAGUAAUCAGCAUUAAAAAUUAAAUUAAAUUAAAUUUUUUUGUUUUUAAUAUUAUUUAGUUAUAGACUUAUUAUUAUAUUUAUUCGUUCAUAAAACUAAAUAAUGUUAAAUCAAAUAAAAUAAUCAGGAAUGGUUCUUAAAAAAUUAAUAUUAUUUAUUUUAUUUUAUUUAAUAUUAUUUAGUCAUAGCCUAUUAUUCUGUUUAUUUUUUGAAAAUUAAAUAAUAUUAAAUAAAAAUCCCCCCUUUUCACAAUAGAUUCCUCCCUUCAAUACUCUCUCUCUCCUCUCUUUUAGAAUUCUAUUUAAAAUAAAAUACUAAUAUCUGAAAUAUUAAAUUCGUAAUUACAAAAAUAACCAAAAAUACAAAAUACGUUAAACUAAAAACUGCAGGUCCGCAGUUGACAGCACGCGCCCACGCCUUAUCAACAAAGUUCUUCUGACGCUCAUAAUUUCUCCAAGAGAACAAUCAUCCUUAAACAUCAUCUUAUAGCUCAAUUUUAUCAUCAAUCAAUAGAAUUACACCUACAAAAGUAAAACACAAGUAAAACAUUAUUAUUAAGUGCAAAACAUCGAUAUUAAGGGAAGUAAACAAUGCAAAACUAGUGCAUAAAUUGCACUCUAACAAAUUCCCCCACACCAAGAUGAUGCUUGUCCUCAAGCAUAUAACUCAAGACUAAUCUCAAAUCUCCACUAAAUUCUCAUCUCAACUCAUCCAAAAAUAAUUUUAAGCAAGCAUACCUCAAGAAAUUAAGUCGAUCAACAUUCGAGAGACAAGGAUUUUUAAAGCAUAGAAUCUCAUAAGAUAGAAUAAGAACAUUCAACCACCAAGAAGAUCCAUUCAAAAUUCAAGUGCAACAAGAUGUAAUAGCCCUCUCAAUAACUUCACUCCAUGCACUCAAAGUGUUUAGGGUAUCAUUUAUGCACUCAAAUCAAAUCAAAGAAUGCUAUUACCAUAAGCUUGCUCAUAUAUCACAUCUCAAUCCACAAAACAUGAAUAAAAUGAAAAAAUCUAAGGGUCUUAAAAGGGUUGUAAUGGGGUUAAAUAGGUUAAAUGAAAAAGAAAGGUCUAUGAAAGAAAAAGAGAUCAAAAUGAGAAGAAUGAACUCAUUGAAUGAACUUAUGAUAUCAAAAUGCUCCUUGGCCGUACAGCAGGAAUGGUUCUUAAAAAAUUAAUAUUAUUUAUUUUAUUUUAUUUAAUAUUAUUUAGUCAUAGCCUAUUAUUCUGUUUAUUUUUUGAAAAUUAAAUAAUAUUAAAUAAAAUAGAAUAGAAAAUGUGAGUCCUUAAAAAUAAAAAUUAUUUUUAAUAUUAUUUAUUUUAUUUAAAAGAAUAAAUUUUUUAAUAUUUUUAUUUUAUUAAAAAAUAUUAUUUAAUAUUAUCUAGUCAUAGGCUUAUUAUUAUAUUUCUUCUUUUAGAAAGUUAAAUAGUAUUAAAUGAAAUAAAAUUACAUUUUAGAAGGUCAUUAGCCAAAGCACAUAAACUUAUAAACAAAUGGAAAUAAAAAAGGUAAAUAAUAUUCAAUAAAAUAAAAUUACAUUUUAAAAGGUCACCAACCAAAGCACAUAAUAUUAUAACAAAAAUGUAAAUAAAAAAGAAAGUAAGAGAUUCAAUGAAAUUUAACAUCACAAAAGACAAUUUCAAAAAUUGGGGGUAGCUUGCAACUGUUGCAAAGUGGCUGGUUCCAUAAUUUUGAGAUAAUGUUUCGGUUUCAAAUAUUGUUAUCGAUACCUAAUUAUAAGUAAUAAAAAAAUAUUGUAUAAUUUUUUUACCAACAUUUACAAUACAUUUUAUUUUGAUUUCUGAAAAAAAUAGAUAAAACACAAAUUAAUUAUUUUAACCCUCUAUUCUCUCAAUAUUUAAACUCGAAUAAUCAGUUAAAAGUUGCUCGAGAAUGUUUAAAAGCCAUUUAAGUAUACCACGUCAUUCAUGUUUUGCAAUCAUUCAAUUGUUAAUAAGUUUCCCAUGUGCUGAAAAUAAAUAAAAAUGCACGUGCAUAUGUCAUAUUGUCUCCGAAACCUCACAGCGGAAUGAGUGUAGUACUUGCAAUGCAUGUACUUUAGACUUUGUAUUUCUCUUAUUUAAAUGAUCAAUAAUUUUUCUUUGUCCUUUAAUUAGACGUCAACAGUCGAAGUUGUGGGCAAGUAGUAGGCUAUAUAUAAUAAUUUCCUGGAGAUCUUCCGUCUUCUAAGACAUUGCAAAUGCCAAACGUGAUAACUAUUUUGAUAAUUCAAAUACUACAUAAAAUAUAUGAAGUGUCAGACAAGUCAAAAGAAUUGAUUCUUCACAAUUGUAUAUACGUAUACACACACUUUGCCCAAAUCCCAUUGUAUCCAGGCUGUAAUUUUUAUAUUAAACGAACAUAUUUUAUUUUAUGUCAGCAAUAUUGAUGCAGGCUGGUGGAACAACAGCUUCAGGAUGGUCAACUACCCUUCGGAUCAUUGCAAGUGGGAUGGCAUCACUUGCAAUUCAGAUGGAACCAUAAUCGGGCUAAAAUUAUCAGGGUAUGAUGUUGACUUCAAAAGGUAGUCUUCGUAAAAUUAUCAUGGUAUAAUAUACGUAUUUAUUUUCGCAUACAUAAAUAAAUAACAAAAUUGUAAUUAAUUGGAUACAACUUCAGCUUUUGGACUGGUUUGUGAAAAUCGGAAAAAUUUAAAAAUGCUCCUCUUGAACAAUCAAAAUCUACUUUAUACGUGAACAAAGGGGAUGAUUCGUAAAGAUAAUUCAUCAAUGUUUGAUUACUUUCAGAAAGAUAGACUUCAUUUGAUCUCGUCCCAAAGCAUAAUUUCACUUUGAAUUUGAAAAAGAAUAAUGAAGUUCAUACGAUGCUGUUGUGACCUUUUUUUUUUGUUUUCUUUUUUUCUCGACGUUGUUUUGUGAAUCAUAAGGGUUAAUUUAGUACGGUGGGUUCGCUUGUAUGAAGCGUACUUAUUGUACCAUUCUGUUGCAAGUAAUGAAAAAACGCUAUAAUUUUUUUUAGGUUUCUACAAGUAUUAUGUUAUCUUAUAUCUAACUGUGCAUCUCUAUUCUUUGCUCUCAGUUCAGGUUCUCUAAAAGUAUAUUAAUUAUGAAAAGCAUUAAAGGUUCCGAAACUCUAUUUUGCGGGGAAAAAGAACCUCCAUUUUUGGUUUUUUAUUAUCAUAAGAGGUUUUACUAUGCUCGUAAUAACUUAAUCGAAAUUAAACAUAUCACUGGUCUACAUUUUUUUAUCAGAUUUUGUGCCUUGCUAAUUAAGAUGAGUAUCACCAUCAAAUCAACAAGCUUAUACCUUCAAAGAAAAAUAGACUAUAAGUCGGGAGAAAGAAGAAGAAAAAAAAAAAGAAGCUUCGCAAUUUAUGCUGUUGGUUGUGAGUUCAUGAAACAAAUAAAAAUAUGAAAUCAAACAUUUAUCCAAAAUUUAAAAUUAAAAAAAAACUCUAUAUCUACAGUAAUCUGUUCAAACCACAUAGGUGGAGCAAUAGAGUUCCAAGACGUGGUUUUAAAACAUGUCUUUGUGAUAAACAAUAUCGUGAUACUUGCGCCAAUUCCCAUGCCAAUAAUUGCCUACAUUUAUCCAAGAUCCAUGGCCAGGUUUAGAAUGUGCUAGUCUUCUUUCACUUUCAUAAAUAACCACUACUAGGUAAUCAGAGUGUCGGUCUAAAUUUUUCGGAGAUACAACGUCAAUGUAUGUGCCCGGAGUUGAAGCUGAACGCGCUUAAAUAUGUUCGGAAUUUGAAGUUGAACGCCUGGAAAAGGAUGCAGACUGAAGAAAGGCAAUUCCUGGAAUUUGUCUUUGGUAAGAAAACAUGGCUGCUUAUGCCCUUUGAAAGACUGAAGAAACCAAAUUGAUUAUUGCUGCAAUUUAGUGGCACGUGUACAAGGAGAGGCAUCCGAUUAAACUUGUUCAUAAAAUUAUUGCUGAUAGUUGCAGCCGAUCUCCAUGAAGUACAAACCCAACGCAAAGAAACAAAGUGUUCGUACAAUUUUAUCCGCCAGCAAUUUCGACCAAGAGACCUUGAUGCAGUUCAGACCAAUUCGCCAGUUGAACAUCAAGUUGCCUAGGCAUUGAGAAUUAGGUCAAUAAAAUAUAUCCUGGGUCACUUACAAAAGAUGAAAUAAGUGAAAAAGGAAAGAUGACGUAAUAAUUUCUUAGUGAGAAAAGUUAGUUAAUUUUCAAUUGCUUUCAUUGUUUUGAUAAUUUUCAAAACAUUUCAUUGCUUUCAUUGCGUAAUUAAGCUUUUUUUGCUUCAAAAUAUUUCAAAUUGUGUUUGUGGGACUACUAAACAAUUAGGACACAACAAUGUUUCGUUCUGGUCUUUUUUUUUUUUUACUUUUUAAUUUAUUUUAAGAAAAUCUUUGUCCAUCUCUCAUCCUGCCAAAUAUAUCGUCUCGUCUUGUUAUCUAGAAUAAUUCUUCAUGCAUCAAUGAGUUUUGACAAAUUUUUAUCUUUUAAAAGUUGUUGUAAUUCAAUAUAGCUAAAAUCUUAAAUACAUACAUGUAGAAUAAUCUAAGCAUUACCUUAUUCGGGGAAAAUCGAGAUUAGAAUCAAUCAAAGCAAUGAUACCUUAUAUCAGUGAGAUAUAUGCAAGACUCACCCAUUGGUACAAACGAAAAUGAUCAAAGUGGAAGCAAAAAUGGAAUCCUCAAAUGUGGUGAUAAUUUAGAUGAUCUCCACUCUCCAUUUGGUUUCAUCUAAUAAGUUAGUGUUUAAUUAAGAAUUUAUUACUCAUUUUAUUAUGAUAUUAAUCAACUGCCGUCCCUUCCAUUAGUUCAUUAUUUUUGAUGGAUUACGAAAGACAGACAAUAAAAUUCUCCAAAACUGUUGUAAGAGUAAUAUUGUAAAAGUUACAUAAAAGUGAGGAUAAGGAUAAUUUGAGGUAUGUUUCAAGAUAUAAAGAUUAAAUAAAUUCUUAACUCAAAAUAAAGAGAUUUAUUUUUUUUAAAAGAGAUUAAAAUGUCAUGAUAAAUAAAUAAGGGAGGUGAUAUUCUGGGCUCUCCCCUGGCUUUUUGUGAUAACAUCUUAAAUUAAUAUAAAUAGUUAAAAUUUUAUUAAAAAAUAAAUUUUUACCUAAUACUCUUUGACAUAGCUAGGAAUAUAGCCUACUUGCAAGAGACUUACAUUCGUUUGCACAGCCCUUUCGUGAAUAUAAAAUUGCUGCCGAAUAAGCAUCUAAUUAAAAGAAUUAGGAAUUUGUCAACGGUAUAAAUUAAAUAUAAAAAACGAGUAAAAGAAUUUGUCAAUGGGAUAUGGGGGGCUAUGGCUUCAAUCGUAGGGGUGGGCAAAUUUCGGAUUCCGAAUCCGAUCGGAUUUUGGAUAAUUCGGAUUGGGAAAAAAUCCAUCCAAAUUCAAUCCGAACCUUAAAUCUGUUUCGAUCCGAGAUAAUUUCGGAUCCGGAUCAGAUUCGGAUGAGUUUGAAUUUCAGAUUAUAUUUCAAGUUCGGAUUAUAUUUUGGAUUCGGAUUAAUUCGGGUUUGGGACCUUUUUACAAUUCUCACAAAAAAAUUAUGAAAUUUAUAAUUAAUGAAAAAUAAUUUCCAUGAUGCUGUCAACAAUAAUUAAUAUUUUGAAAACGCAAUAACGGAAUUUUCAAAAAAAAGAAAAAGAAAACACAGGAACGGUAUUGAUAAAGAAUUUUCAUUAGCCAUUUGUGACUGCUAACUAAAUUGUAACAACUAAGUAAAAUAUAAUAAUAAUAAUAAUACAUGCGGGUAUAUUCAAAGCAACUAAAUCACUUGCGAAUGAUCAAGACAAAUCGUAUAAACAAGUAAAAAAUUCAAAGUUUCAAACGCAAAUCGUCGGGGGCUAUCGGAUUAGUGGAUUACCAUUAACAAGACGAGGUUUAUGUCGGUGUGAGUUGCUCAUUGUGGGUCUGGAUGAUGUCGCGAUGGCUGGGUUUGUGCCAACUAUGAUCCAGCUAGGUUUGUAUCGAAUCUGAUCUCGUCUAGAGGACGUUGUGGCGGCUGGGUUUGUGUCGAAUUCAUUCGGUUUGUCUCGUCGGCGACAUGGUUGUUGGUUGGCUCGUCAGGUUGUGGCCCGUGGGUGUGGUGUGGUUUGUUGUCGUGGAUUGACUUAUCAAAGGGCGUGCGACGAUGGUGUGUGGUUUUGUCAUUUGGAAAUUGAGUUUUGAUUUUUCAUUUUCGUUUUUUUAAAAAAAAAUUUUUGGAUUAUUCGGAUUGAACUGAAUCUUAUCCGAUCCAAAUCAAAUCCGAUCAGAUUACAAAAAUUUCAUCCGAUUGGAUUUUAAAGCAAAUCCAAAUCCGAUCCGAACAAAUUCGGAUCGAAUUGGAUUAGAUCGGAUCUAUCCGAAUCUGAUCCAAUGUCCACCCCUAUUCAAUCGGUUUCUGCAAUGGUUAAUGGCAUAUUUUUGCUCAUCGUCACCACUGAAUCCACUGAUCAUUUGUGCAUGUGAGUUGUUUUUGAGCAUUUAUUUUUCCCUUUAGAAGCAUAAGGAUAAGGCUAGUCUUCUUUUUGGGAGGACUUAUUGCUUCCAUUCGUUAAAAUUGGGCAUGUAAAAUGUCAAGAAAAAAUGGCCUAAGUGGCUAGCUAGAUGAUAUAAUGGAUGGUUACUACUCAAACCUAGCAAUAAAUGAAUGUCCGACAAGCAUUCAAAUGAAUGAAUAAAACCAAUCAGAUUAGAAUAUCUAUUUAUGAUAGAUUAAUGAAAAUACGAUUCAAAUAUAAGGUAAAUAAUCUCUCCAUUAAUUUUUUAUUGUUUCAGGCAGGGUUGCCAAGCCUCUGUCCGGGCUUCUAUAAGCUCAAUUCCAGCUCUCCUAUAUGAUUGAAUUAGAUCGGGCUAGGCCCUCGGACUUUUUAAUUAAAAAAGGUCGAUUUUUAAGUUUAUGAAGUUAAUACACUCACGCUUAUACUUUAAUAUUUUUAUUAUUUGGCUUUUAGAAUAUUAACGUGUAAAUUACUUUUUUUUUUCAAGUGAAAUAAUUAUCACAUUUUGUCUUCUUAGUAUAUAUUUCUACCUUUUUGUUCCUAUAGAUAUUUCCUCAUUUCAUCUUUGGUACUAGAGCGUAGUAAAAAAACACAUGAUUAAAGAUAAAUAUGACAUUUUAACUAACAAAUUAAUUAUUUGUAUCUAAGAUCUAGCUCUAGUGGUAAAGAUCAAUUUUCAUCGAAUUCAAGUCUUGGGUUUGAAUUUAAAUGCAUGGGUAAGUUAAUAAUAAUAAUAAUAAUAAUAAUAAUAAUAAUAAUAAUAAUAAUAAUAAUAAUAAUAAUAAUAAUAAUAAUAAUAAUAAUAAUAAUAAUAAUAAUAAUAAUAAUAAUAAUAAUAAUAAUAAUAAUAAUAAUAAUAAUAAUAAUAAUAAUAAUAAUAAUAAUAAUAAUAAUAAUAAUAAUAAUAAUAAUAAUAAUAAUAAUAAUAAUAAUAAUAAUAAUAAUAAUAAUAAUAAUAAUAAUAAUAAUAAUAAUAAUAAUAAUAAUAAUAAUAAUAAUAAUAAUAAUAAUAAUAAUAAUAAUAAUAAUAAUAAUAAUAAUAAUAAUAAUAAUAAUAAUAAUAAUAAUAAUAAUAAUAAUAAUAAUAAUAAUAAUAAUAAUAAUAAUAAUAAUAAUAAUAAUAAUAAUAAUAAUAAUAAUAAUAAUAAUAAUAAUAAUAAUAAUAAUAAUAAUAAUAAUAAUAAUAAUAAUAAUAAUAAUAAUAAUAAUAAUAAUAAUAAUAAUAAUAAUAAUAAUAAUAAUAAUAAUAAUAAUAAUAAUAAUAAUAAUAAUAAUAAUAAUAAUAAUAAUAAUAAUAAUAAUAAUAAUAAUAAUAAUAAUAAUAAUAAUAAUAAUAAUAAUAAUAAUAAUAAUAAUAAUAAUAAUAAUAAUAAUAAUAAUAAUAAUAAUAAUAAUAAUAAUAAUAAUAAUAAUAAUAAUAAUAAUAAUAAUAAUAAUAAUAAUAAUAAUAAUAAUAAUAAUAAUAAUAAUAAUAAUAAUAAUAAUAAUAAUAAUAAUAAUAAUAAUAAUAAUAAUAAUAAUAAUAAUAAUAAUAAUAAUAAUAAUAAUAAUAAUAAUAAUAAUAAUAAUAAUAAUAAUAAUAAUAAUAAUAAUAAUAAUAAUAAUAAUAAUAAUAAUAAUAAUAAUAAUAAUAAUAAUAAUAAUAAUAAUAAUAAUAAUAAUAAUAAUAAUAAUAAUAAUAAUAAUAAUAAUAAUAAUAAUAAUAAUAAUAAUAAUAAUAAUAAUAAUAAUAAUAAUAAUAAUAAUAAUAAUAAUAAUAAUAAUAAUAAUAAUAAUAAUAAUAAUAAUAAUAAUAAUAAUAAUAAUAAUAAUAAUAAUAAUAAUAAUAAUAAUAAUAAUAAUAAUAAUAAUAAUAAUAAUAAUAAUAAUAAUAAUAAUAAUAAUAAUAAUAAUAAUAAUAAUAAUAAUAAUAAUAAUAAUAAUAAUAAUAAUAAUAAUAAUAAUAAUAAUAAUAAUAAUAAUAAUAAUAAUAAUAAUAAUAAUAAUAAUAAUAAUAAUAAUAAUAAUAAUAAUAAUAAUAAUAAUAAUAAUAAUAAUAAUAAUAAUAAUAAUAAUAAUAAUAAUAAUAAUAAUAAUAAUAAUAAUAAUAAUAAUAAUAAUAAUAAUAAUAAUAAUAAUAAUAAUAAUAAUAAUAAUAAUAAUAAUAAUAAUAAUAAUAAUAAUAAUAAUAAUAAUAAUAAUAAUAAUAAUAAUAAUAAUAAUAAUAAUAAUAAUAAUAAUAAUAAUAAUAAUAAUAAUAAUAAUAAUAAUAAUAAUAAUAAUAAUAAUAAUAAUAAUAAUAAUAAUAAUAAUAAUAAUAAUAAUAAUAAUAAUAAUAAUAAUAAUAAUAAUAAUAAUAAUAAUAAUAAUAAUAAUAAUAAUAAUAAUAAUAAUAAUAAUAAUAAUAAUAAUAAUAAUAAUAAUAAUAAUAAUAAUAAUAAUAAUAAUAAUAAUAAUAAUAAUAAUAAUAAUAAUAAUAAUAAUAAUAAUAAUAAUAAUAAUAAUAAUAAUAAUAAUAAUAAUAAUAAUAAUAAUAAUAAUAAUAAUAAUAAUAAUAAUAAUAAUAAUAAUAAUAAUAAUAAUAAUAAUAAUAAUAAUAAUAAUAAUAAUAAUAAUAAUAAUAAUAAUAAUAAUAAUAAUAAUAAUAAUAAUAAUAAUAAUAAUAAUAAUAAUAAUAAUAAUAAUAAUAAUAAUAAUAAUAAUAAUAAUAAUAAUAAUAAUAAUAAUAAUAAUAAUAAUAAUAAUAAUAAUAAUAAUAAUAAUAAUAAUAAUAAUAAUAAUAAUAAUAAUAAUAAUAAUAAUAAUAAUAAUAAUAAUAAUAAUAAUAAUAAUAAUAAUAAUAAUAAUAAUAAUAAUAAUAAUAAUAAUAAUAAUAAUAAUAAUAAUAAUAAUAAUAAUAAUAAUAAUAAUAAUAAUAAUAAUAAUAAUAAUAAUAAUAAUAAUAAUAAUAAUAAUAAUAAUAAUAAUAAUAAUAAUAAUAAUAAUAAUAAUAAUAAUAAUAAUAAUAAUAAUAAUAAUAAUAAUAAUAAUAAUAAUAAUAAUAAUAAUAAUAAUAAUAAUAAUAAUAAUAAUAAUAAUAAUAAUAAUAAUAAUAAUAAUAAUAAUAAUAAUAAUAAUAAUAAUAAUAAUAAUAAUAAUAAUAAUAAUAAUAAUAAUAAUAAUAAUAAUAAUAAUAAUAAUAAUAAUAAUAAUAAUAAUAAUAAUAAUAAUAAUAAUAAUAAUAAUAAUAAUAAUAAUAAUAAUAAUAAUAAUAAUAAUAAUAAUAAUAAUAAUAAUAAUAAUAAUAAUAAUAAUAAUAAUAAUAAUAAUAAUAAUAAUAAUAAUAAUAAUAAUAAUAAUAAUAAUAAUAAUAAUAAUAAUAAUAAUAAUAAUAAUAAUAAUAAUAAUAAUAAUAAUAAUAAUAAUAAUAAUAAUAAUAAUAAUAAUAAUAAUAAUAAUAAUAAUAAUAAUAAUAAUAAUAAUAAUAAUAAUAAUAAUAAUAAUAAUAAUAAUAAUAAUAAUAAUAAUAAUAAUAAUAAUAAUAAUAAUAAUAAUAAUAAUAAUAAUAAUAAUAAUAAUAAUAAUAAUAAUAAUAAUAAUAAUAAUAAUAAUAAUAAUAAUAAUAAUAAUAAUAAUAAUAAUAAUAAUAAUAAUAAUAAUAAUAAUAAUAAUAAUAAUAAUAAUAAUAAUAAUAAUAAUAAUAAUAAUAAUAAUAAUAAUAAUAAUAAUAAUAAUAAUAAUAAUAAUAAUAAUAAUAAUAAUAAUAAUAAUAAUAAUAAUAAUAAUAAUAAUAAUAAUAAUAAUAAUAAUAAUAAUAAUAAUAAUAAUAAUAAUAAUAAUAAUAAUAAUAAUAAUAAUAAUAAUAAUAAUAAUAAUAAUAAUAAUAAUAAUAAUAAUAAUAAUAAUAAUAAUAAUAAUAAUAAUAAUAAUAAUAAUAAUAAUAAUAAUAAUAAUAAUAAUAAUAAUAAUAAUAAUAAUAAUAAUAAUAAUAAUAAUAAUAAUAAUAAUAAUAAUAAUAAUAAUAAUAAUAAUAAUAAUAAUAAUAAUAAUAAUAAUAAUAAUAAUAAUAAUAAUAAUAAUAAUAAUAAUAAUAAUAAUAAUAAUAAUAAUAAUAAUAAUAAUAAUAAUAAUAAUAAUAAUAAUAAUAAUAAUAAUAAUAAUAAUAAUAAUAAUAAUAAUAAUAAUAAUAAUAAUAAUAAUAAUAAUAAUAAUAAUAAUAAUAAUAAUAAUAAUAAUAAUAAUAAUAAUAAUAAUAAUAAUAAUAAUAAUAAUAAUAAUAAUAAUAAUAAUAAUAAUAAUAAUAAUAAUAAUAAUAAUAAUAAUAAUAAUAAUAAUAAUAAUAAUAAUAAUAAUAAUAAUAAUAAUAAUAAUAAUAAUAAUAAUAAUAAUAAUAAUAAUAAUAAUAAUAAUAAUAAUAAUAAUAAUAAUAAUAAUAAUAAUAAUAAUAAUAAUAAUAAUAAUAAUAAUAAUAAUAAUAAUAAUAAUAAUAAUAAUAAUAAUAAUAAUAAUAAUAAUAAUAAUAAUAAUAAUAAUAAUAAUAAUAAUAAUAAUAAUAAUAAUAAUAAUAAUAAUAAUAAUAAUAAUAAUAAUAAUAAUAAUAAUAAUAAUAAUAAUAAUAAUAAUAAUAAUAAUAAUAAUAAUAAUAAUAAUAAUAAUAAUAAUAAUAAUAAUAAUAAUAAUAAUAAUAAUAAUAAUAAUAAUAAUAAUAAUAAUAAUAAUAAUAAUAAUAAUAAUAAUAAUAAUAAUAAUAAUAAUAAUAAUAAUAAUAAUAAUAAUAAUAAUAAUAAUAAUAAUAAUAAUAAUAAUAAUAAUAAUAAUAAUAAUAAUAAUAAUAAUAAUAAUAAUAAUAAUAAUAAUAAUAAUAAUAAUAAUAAUAAUAAUAAUAAUAAUAAUAAUAAUAAUAAUAAUAAUAAUAAUAAUAAUAAUAAUAAUAAUAAUAAUAAUAAUAAUAAUAAUAAUAAUAAUAAUAAUAAUAAUAAUAAUAAUAAUAAUAAUAAUAAUAAUAAUAAUAAUAAUAAUAAUAAUAAUAAUAAUAAUAAUAAUAAUAAUAAUAAUAAUAAUAAUAAUAAUAAUAAUAAUAAUAAUAAUAAUAAUAAUAAUAAUAAUAAUAAUAAUAAUAAUAAUAAUAAUAAUAAUAAUAAUAAUAAUAAUAAUAAUAAUAAUAAUAAUAAUAAUAAUAAUAAUAAUAAUAAUAAUAAUAAUAAUAAUAAUAAUAAUAAUAAUAAUAAUAAUAAUAAUAAUAAUAAUAAUAAUAAUAAUAAUAAUAAUAAUAAUAAUAAUAAUAAUAAUAAUAAUAAUAAUAAUAAUAAUAAUAAUAAUAAUAAUAAUAAUAAUAAUAAUAAUAAUAAUAAUAAUAAUAAUAAUAAUAAUAAUAAUAAUAAUAAUAAUAAUAAUAAUAAUAAUAAUAAUAAUAAUAAUAAUAAUAAUAAUAAUAAUAAUAAUAAUAAUAAUAAUAAUAAUAAUAAUAAUAAUAAUAAUAAUAAUAAUAAUAAUAAUAAUAAUAAUAAUAAUAAUAAUAAUAAUAAUAAUAAUAAUAAUAAUAAUAAUAAUAAUAAUAAUAAUAAUAAUAAUAAUAAUAAUAAUAAUAAUAAUAAUAAUAAUAAUAAUAAUAAUAAUAAUAAUAAUAAUAAUAAUAAUAAUAAUAAUAAUAAUAAUAAUAAUAAUAAUAAUAAUAAUAAUAAUAAUAAUAAUAAUAAUAAUAAUAAUAAUAAUAAUAAUAAUAAUAAUAAUAAUAAUAAUAAUAAUAAUAAUAAUAAUAAUAAUAAUAAUAAUAAUAAUAAUAAUAAUAAUAAUAAUAAUAAUAAUAAUAAUAAUAAUAAUAAUAAUAAUAAUAAUAAUAAUAAUAAUAAUAAUAAUAAUAAUAAUAAUAAUAAUAAUAAUAAUAAUAAUAAUAAUAAUAAUAAUAAUAAUAAUAAUAAUAAUAAUAAUAAUAAUAAUAAUAAUAAUAAUAAUAAUAAUAAUAAUAAUAAUAAUAAUAAUAAUAAUAAUAAUAAUAAUAAUAAUAAUAAUAAUAAUAAUAAUAAUAAUAAUAAUAAUAAUAAUAAUAAUAAUAAUAAUAAUAAUAAUAAUAAUAAUAAUAAUAAUAAUAAUAAUAAUAAUAAUAAUAAUAAUAAUAAUAAUAAUAAUAAUAAUAAUAAUAAUAAUAAUAAUAAUAAUAAUAAUAAUAAUAAUAAUAAUAAUAAUAAUAAUAAUAAUAAUAAUAAUAAUAAUAAUAAUAAUAAUAAUAAUAAUAAUAAUAAUAAUAAUAAUAAUAAUAAUAAUAAUAAUAAUAAUAAUAAUAAUAAUAAUAAUAAUAAUAAUAAUAAUAAUAAUAAUAAUAAUAAUAAUAAUAAUAAUAAUAAUAAUAAUAAUAAUAAUAAUAAUAAUAAUAAUAAUAAUAAUAAUAAUAAUAAUAAUAAUAAUAAUAAUAAUAAUAAUAAUAAUAAUAAUAAUAAUAAUAAUAAUAAUAAUAAUAAUAAUAAUAAUAAUAAUAAUAAUAAUAAUAAUAAUAAUAAUAAUAAUAAUAAUAAUAAUAAUAAUAAUAAUAAUAAUAAUAAUAAUAAUAAUAAUAAUAAUAAUAAUAAUAAUAAUAAUAAUAAUAAUAAUAAUAAUAAUAAUAAUAAUAAUAAUAAUAAUAAUAAUAAUAAUAAUAAUAAUAAUAAUAAUAAUAAUAAUAAUAAUAAUAAUAAUAAUAAUAAUAAUAAUAAUAAUAAUAAUAAUAAUAAUAAUAAUAAUAAUAAUAAUAAUAAUAAUAAUAAUAAUAAUAAUAAUAAUAAUAAUAAUAAUAAUAAUAAUAAUAAUAAUAAUAAUAAUAAUAAUAAUAAUAAUAAUAAUAAUAAUAAUAAUAAUAAUAAUAAUAAUAAUAAUAAUAAUAAUAAUAAUAAUAAUAAUAAUAAUAAUAAUAAUAAUAAUAAUAAUAAUAAUAAUAAUAAUAAUAAUAAUAAUAAUAAUAAUAAUAAUAAUAAUAAUAAUAAUAAUAAUAAUAAUAAUAAUAAUAAUAAUAAUAAUAAUAAUAAUAAUAAUAAUAAUAAUAAUAAUAAUAAUAAUAAUAAUAAUAAUAAUAAUAAUAAUAAUAAUAAUAAUAAUAAUAAUAAUAAUAAUAAUAAUAAUAAUAAUAAUAAUAAUAAUAAUAAUAAUAAUAAUAAUAAUAAUAAUAAUAAUAAUAAUAAUAAUAAUAAUAAUAAUAAUAAUAAUAAUAAUAAUAAUAAUAAUAAUAAUAAUAAUAAUAAUAAUAAUAAUAAUAAUAAUAAUAAUAAUAAUAAUAAUAAUAAUAAUAAUAAUAAUAAUAAUAAUAAUAAUAAUAAUAAUAAUAAUAAUAAUAAUAAUAAUAAUAAUAAUAAUAAUAAUAAUAAUAAUAAUAAUAAUAAUAAUAAUAAUAAUAAUAAUAAUAAUAAUAAUAAUAAUAAUAAUAAUAAUAAUAAUAAUAAUAAUAAUAAUAAUAAUAAUAAUAAUAAUAAUAAUAAUAAUAAUAAUAAUAAUAAUAAUAAUAAUAAUAAUAAUAAUAAUAAUAAUAAUAAUAAUAAUAAUAAUAAUAAUAAUAAUAAUAAUAAUAAUAAUAAUAAUAAUAAUAAUAAUAAUAAUAAUAAUAAUAAUAAUAAUAAUAAUAAUAAUAAUAAUAAUAAUAAUAAUAAUAAUAAUAAUAAUAAUAAUAAUAAUAAUAAUAAUAAUAAUAAUAAUAAUAAUAAUAAUAAUAAUAAUAAUAAUAAUAAUAAUAAUAAUAAUAAUAAUAAUAAUAAUAAUAAUAAUAAUAAUAAUAAUAAUAAUAAUAAUAAUAAUAAUAAUAAUAAUAAUAAUAAUAAUAAUAAUAAUAAUAAUAAUAAUAAUAAUAAUAAUAAUAAUAAUAAUAAUAAUAAUAAUAAUAAUAAUAAUAAUAAUAAUAAUAAUAAUAAUAAUAAUAAUAAUAAUAAUAAUAAUAAUAAUAAUAAUAAUAAUAAUAAUAAUAAUAAUAAUAAUAAUAAUAAUAAUAAUAAUAAUAAUAAUAAUAAUAAUAAUAAUAAUAAUAAUAAUAAUAAUAAUAAUAAUAAUAAUAAUAAUAAUAAUAAUAAUAAUAAUAAUAAUAAUAAUAAUAAUAAUAAUAAUAAUAAUAAUAAUAAUAAUAAUAAUAAUAAUAAUAAUAAUAAUAAUAAUAAUAAUAAUAAUAAUAAUAAUAAUAAUAAUAAUAAUAAUAAUAAUAAUAAUAAUAAUAAUAAUAAUAAUAAUAAUAAUAAUAAUAAUAAUAAUAAUAAUAAUAAUAAUAAUAAUAAUAAUAAUAAUAAUAAUAAUAAUAAUAAUAAUAAUAAUAAUAAUAAUAAUAAUAAUAAUAAUAAUAAUAAUAAUAAUAAUAAUAAUAAUAAUAAUAAUAAUAAUAAUAAUAAUAAUAAUAAUAAUAAUAAUAAUAAUAAUAAUAAUAAUAAUAAUAAUAAUAAUAAUAAUAAUAAUAAUAAUAAUAAUAAUAAUAAUAAUAAUAAUAAUAAUAAUAAUAAUAAUAAUAAUAAUAAUAAUAAUAAUAAUAAUAAUAAUAAUAAUAAUAAUAAUAAUAAUAAUAAUAAUAAUAAUAAUAAUAAUAAUAAUAAUAAUAAUAAUAAUAAUAAUAAUAAUAAUAAUAAUAAUAAUAAUAAUAAUAAUAAUAAUAAUAAUAAUAAUAAUAAUAAUAAUAAUAAUAAUAAUAAUAAUAAUAAUAAUAAUAAUAAUAAUAAUAAUAAUAAUAAUAAUAAUAAUAAUAAUAAUAAUAAUAAUAAUAAUAAUAAUAAUAAUAAUAAUAAUAAUAAUAAUAAUAAUAAUAAUAAUAAUAAUAAUAAUAAUAAUAAUAAUAAUAAUAAUAAUAAUAAUAAUAAUAAUAAUAAUAAUAAUAAUAAUAAUAAUAAUAAUAAUAAUAAUAAUAAUAAUAAUAAUAAUAAUAAUAAUAAUAAUAAUAAUAAUAAUAAUAAUAAUAAUAAUAAUAAUAAUAAUAAUAAUAAUAAUAAUAAUAAUAAUAAUAAUAAUAAUAAUAAUAAUAAUAAUAAUAAUAAUAAUAAUAAUAAUAAUAAUAAUAAUAAUAAUAAUAAUAAUAAUAAUAAUAAUAAUAAUAAUAAUAAUAAUAAUAAUAAUAAUAAUAAUAAUAAUAAUAAUAAUAAUAAUAAUAAUAAUAAUAAUAAUAAUAAUAAUAAUAAUAAUAAUAAUAAUAAUAAUAAUAAUAAUAAUAAUAAUAAUAAUAAUAAUAAUAAUAAUAAUAAUAAUAAUAAUAAUAAUAAUAAUAAUAAUAAUAAUAAUAAUAAUAAUAAUAAUAAUAAUAAUAAUAAUAAUAAUAAUAAUAAUAAUAAUAAUAAUAAUAAUAAUAAUAAUAAUAAUAAUAAUAAUAAUAAUAAUAAUAAUAAUAAUAAUAAUAAUAAUAAUAAUAAUAAUAAUAAUAAUAAUAAUAAUAAUAAUAAUAAUAAUAAUAAUAAUAAUAAUAAUAAUAAUAAUAAUAAUAAUAAUAAUAAUAAUAAUAAUAAUAAUAAUAAUAAUAAUAAUAAUAAUAAUAAUAAUAAUAAUAAUAAUAAUAAUAAUAAUAAUAAUAAUAAUAAUAAUAAUAAUAAUAAUAAUAAUAAUAAUAAUAAUAAUAAUAAUAAUAAUAAUAAUAAUAAUAAUAAUAAUAAUAAUAAUAAUAAUAAUAAUAAUAAUAAUAAUAAUAAUAAUAAUAAUAAUAAUAAUAAUAAUAAUAAUAAUAAUAAUAAUAAUAAUAAUAAUAAUAAUAAUAAUAAUAAUAAUAAUAAUAAUAAUAAUAAUAAUAAUAAUAAUAAUAAUAAUAAUAAUAAUAAUAAUAAUAAUAAUAAUAAUAAUAAUAAUAAUAAUAAUAAUAAUAAUAAUAAUAAUAAUAAUAAUAAUAAUAAUAAUAAUAAUAAUAAUAAUAAUAAUAAUAAUAAUAAUAAUAAUAAUAAUAAUAAUAAUAAUAAUAAUAAUAAUAAUAAUAAUAAUAAUAAUAAUAAUAAUAAUAAUAAUAAUAAUAAUAAUAAUAAUAAUAAUAAUAAUAAUAAUAAUAAUAAUAAUAAUAAUAAUAAUAAUAAUAAUAAUAAUAAUAAUAAUAAUAAUAAUAAUAAUAAUAAUAAUAAUAAUAAUAAUAAUAAUAAUAAUAAUAAUAAUAAUAAUAAUAAUAAUAAUAAUAAUAAUAAUAAUAAUAAUAAUAAUAAUAAUAAUAAUAAUAAUAAUAAUAAUAAUAAUAAUAAUAAUAAUAAUAAUAAUAAUAAUAAUAAUAAUAAUAAUAAUAAUAAUAAUAAUAAUAAUAAUAAUAAUAAUAAUAAUAAUAAUAAUAAUAAUAAUAAUAAUAAUAAUAAUAAUAAUAAUAAUAAUAAUAAUAAUAAUAAUAAUAAUAAUAAUAAUAAUAAUAAUAAUAAUAAUAAUAAUAAUAAUAAUAAUAAUAAUAAUAAUAAUAAUAAUAAUAAUAAUAAUAAUAAUAAUAAUAAUAAUAAUAAUAAUAAUAAUAAUAAUAAUAAUAAUAAUAAUAAUAAUAAUAAUAAUAAUAAUAAUAAUAAUAAUAAUAAUAAUAAUAAUAAUAAUAAUAAUAAUAAUAAUAAUAAUAAUAAUAAUAAUAAUAAUAAUAAUAAUAAUAAUAAUAAUAAUAAUAAUAAUAAUAAUAAUAAUAAUAAUAAUAAUAAUAAUAAUAAUAAUAAUAAUAAUAAUAAUAAUAAUAAUAAUAAUAAUAAUAAUAAUAAUAAUAAUAAUAAUAAUAAUAAUAAUAAUAAUAAUAAUAAUAAUAAUAAUAAUAAUAAUAAUAAUAAUAAUAAUAAUAAUAAUAAUAAUAAUAAUAAUAAUAAUAAUAAUAAUAAUAAUAAUAAUAAUAAUAAUAAUAAUAAUAAUAAUAAUAAUAAUAAUAAUAAUAAUAAUAAUAAUAAUAAUAAUAAUAAUAAUAAUAAUAAUAAUAAUAAUAAUAAUAAUAAUAAUAAUAAUAAUAAUAAUAAUAAUAAUAAUAAUAAUAAUAAUAAUAAUAAUAAUAAUAAUAAUAAUAAUAAUAAUAAUAAUAAUAAUAAUAAUAAUAAUAAUAAUAAUAAUAAUAAUAAUAAUAAUAAUAAUAAUAAUAAUAAUAAUAAUAAUAAUAAUAAUAAUAAUAAUAAUAAUAAUAAUAAUAAUAAUAAUAAUAAUAAUAAUAAUAAUAAUAAUAAUAAUAAUAAUAAUAAUAAUAAUAAUAAUAAUAAUAAUAAUAAUAAUAAUAAUAAUAAUAAUAAUAAUAAUAAUAAUAAUAAUAAUAAUAAUAAUAAUAAUAAUAAUAAUAAUAAUAAUAAUAAUAAUAAUAAUAAUAAUAAUAAUAAUAAUAAUAAUAAUAAUAAUAAUAAUAAUAAUAAUAAUAAUAAUAAUAAUAAUAAUAAUAAUAAUAAUAAUAAUAAUAAUAAUAAUAAUAAUAAUAAUAAUAAUAAUAAUAAUAAUAAUAAUAAUAAUAAUAAUAAUAAUAAUAAUAAUAAUAAUAAUAAUAAUAAUAAUAAUAAUAAUAAUAAUAAUAAUAAUAAUAAUAAUAAUAAUAAUAAUAAUAAUAAUAAUAAUAAUAAUAAUAAUAAUAAUAAUAAUAAUAAUAAUAAUAAUAAUAAUAAUAAUAAUAAUAAUAAUAAUAAUAAUAAUAAUAAUAAUAAUAAUAAUAAUAAUAAUAAUAAUAAUAAUAAUAAUAAUAAUAAUAAUAAUAAUAAUAAUAAUAAUAAUAAUAAUAAUAAUAAUAAUAAUAAUAAUAAUAAUAAUAAUAAUAAUAAUAAUAAUAAUAAUAAUAAUAAUAAUAAUAAUAAUAAUAAUAAUAAUAAUAAUAAUAAUAAUAAUAAUAAUAAUAAUAAUAAUAAUAAUAAUAAUAAUAAUAAUAAUAAUAAUAAUAAUAAUAAUAAUAAUAAUAAUAAUAAUAAUAAUAAUAAUAAUAAUAAUAAUAAUAAUAAUAAUAAUAAUAAUAAUAAUAAUAAUAAUAAUAAUAAUAAUAAUAAUAAUAAUAAUAAUAAUAAUAAUAAUAAUAAUAAUAAUAAUAAUAAUAAUAAUAAUAAUAAUAAUAAUAAUAAUAAUAAUAAUAAUAAUAAUAAUAAUAAUAAUAAUAAUAAUAAUAAUAAUAAUAAUAAUAAUAAUAAUAAUAAUAAUAAUAAUAAUAAUAAUAAUAAUAAUAAUAAUAAUAAUAAUAAUAAUAAUAAUAAUAAUAAUAAUAAUAAUAAUAAUAAUAAUAAUAAUAAUAAUAAUAAUAAUAAUAAUAAUAAUAAUAAUAAUAAUAAUAAUAAUAAUAAUAAUAAUAAUAAUAAUAAUAAUAAUAAUAAUAAUAAUAAUAAUAAUAAUAAUAAUAAUAAUAAUAAUAAUAAUAAUAAUAAUAAUAAUAAUAAUAAUAAUAAUAAUAAUAAUAAUAAUAAUAAUAAUAAUAAUAAUAAUAAUAAUAAUAAUAAUAAUAAUAAUAAUAAUAAUAAUAAUAAUAAUAAUAAUAAUAAUAAUAAUAAUAAUAAUAAUAAUAAUAAUAAUAAUAAUAAUAAUAAUAAUAAUAAUAAUAAUAAUAAUAAUAAUAAUAAUAAUAAUAAUAAUAAUAAUAAUAAUAAUAAUAAUAAUAAUAAUAAUAAUAAUAAUAAUAAUAAUAAUAAUAAUAAUAAUAAUAAUAAUAAUAAUAAUAAUAAUAAUAAUAAUAAUAAUAAUAAUAAUAAUAAUAAUAAUAAUAAUAAUAAUAAUAAUAAUAAUAAUAAUAAUAAUAAUAAUAAUAAUAAUAAUAAUAAUAAUAAUAAUAAUAAUAAUAAUAAUAAUAAUAAUAAUAAUAAUAAUAAUAAUAAUAAUAAUAAUAAUAAUAAUAAUAAUAAUAAUAAUAAUAAUAAUAAUAAUAAUAAUAAUAAUAAUAAUAAUAAUAAUAAUAAUAAUAAUAAUAAUAAUAAUAAUAAUAAUAAUAAUAAUAAUAAUAAUAAUAAUAAUAAUAAUAAUAAUAAUAAUAAUAAUAAUAAUAAUAAUAAUAAUAAUAAUAAUAAUAAUAAUAAUAAUAAUAAUAAUAAUAAUAAUAAUAAUAAUAAUAAUAAUAAUAAUAAUAAUAAUAAUAAUAAUAAUAAUAAUAAUAAUAAUAAUAAUAAUAAUAAUAAUAAUAAUAAUAAUAAUAAUAAUAAUAAUAAUAAUAAUAAUAAUAAUAAUAAUAAUAAUAAUAAUAAUAAUAAUAAUAAUAAUAAUAAUAAUAAUAAUAAUAAUAAUAAUAAUAAUAAUAAUAAUAAUAAUAAUAGAGAAGAGAAAAAUUAGAUCUAGGGUUUCUUUCUUUUUCUCCAAUCCAAAAAUCCCCCCUUUUCACAAUAGAUUCCUCCCUUAAAUACUCUCUCUCUCUUCUCCUCUAGAAUUCUAUUUAAAAUAAAAUACUAACAUCUGAAAUAUUAAAUUCGUAAUUACAAAAAUAACCAAAAAUACAAAACACGUUAAACUAAAAACUGCAGGUCCGCAGUUGACAGCACGCGCCCACGCCUUAUCAACAAAGUUCUUCUGACGCUCAUAAUUUCUCCAAGAGAACAAUCAUCCUUAAACAUCAUCUUAUAGCUCAAUUUUAUCAUCAAUCAAUAGAAUUGCACCUACAAAAGUAAAACAUAAGUAAAUCACUAUUAUUAAGUGCAAAACAUUGAUAUUAAGGGAAGUAAAUAAUGCAAAACUAGUGCAUAAAUUGCACUCUAACAGUAAUCAGUAAUCAGCAUUAAAAAUUAAAUUAAAUUAAAUUUUUUUGUUUUUAAUAUUAUUUAGUUAUAGACUUAUUAUUAUAUUUAUUCGUUCAUAAAACUAAAUAAUGUUAAAUCAAAUAAAAUAAUCAGGAAUGGUUCUUAAAAAAUUAAUAUUAUUUAUUUUAUUUUAUUUAAUAUUAUUUAGUCAUAGCCUAUUAUUCUGUUUAUUUUUUGAAAAUUAAAUAAUAUUAAAUAAAAUAGAAUAGAAAAUGUGAGUCCUUAAAAAUAAAAAUUAUUUUUAAUAUUAUUUAUUUUAUUUAAAAGAAUAAAUUUUUUAAUAUUUUUAUUUUAUUAAAAAAUAUUAUUUAAUAUUAUCUAGUCAUAGGCUUAUUAUUAUAUUUCUUCUUUUAGAAAGUUAAAUAGUAUUAAAUGAAAUAAAAUUACAUUUUAGAAGGUCAUUAGCCAAAGCACAUAAACUUAUAAACAAAUGGAAAUAAAAAAGGUAAAUAAUAUUCAAUAAAAUAAAAUUACAUUUUAAAAGGUCACCAACCAAAGCACAUAAUAUUAUAACAAAAAUGUAAAUAAAAAAGAAAGUAAGAGAUUCAAUGAAAUUUAACAUCACAAAAGACAAUUUCAAAAAUUGGGGGUAGCUUGCAACUGUUGCAAAGUGGCUGGUUCCAUAAUUUUGAGAUAAUGUUUCGGUUUCAAAUAUUGUUAUCGAUACCUAAUUAUAAGUAAUAAAAAAAUAUUGUAUAAUUUUUUUACCAACAUUUACAAUACAUUUUAUUUUGAUUUCUGAAAAAAAUAGAUAAAACACAAAUUAAUUAUUUUAACCCUCUAUUCUCUCAAUAUUUAAACUCGAAUAAUCAGUUAAAAGUUGCUCGAGAAUGUUUAAAAGCCAUUUAAGUAUACCACGUCAUUCAUGUUUUGCAAUCAUUCAAUUGUUAAUAAGUUUCCCAUGUGCUGAAAAUAAAUAAAAAUGCACGUGCAUAUGUCAUAUUGUCUCCGAAACCUCACAGCGGAAUGAGUGUAGUACUUGCAAUGCAUGUACUUUAGACUUUGUAUUUCUCUUAUUUAAAUGAUCAAUAAUUUUUCUUUGUCCUUUAAUUAGACGUCAACAGUCGAAGUUGUGGGCAGGUAGUAGGCUAUAUAUAAUAAUUUCCUGGAGAUCUUCCGUCUUCUAAGACAUUGCAAAUGCCAAACGUGAUAACUAUUUUGAUAAUUCAAAUACUACAUAAAAUAUAUGAAGUGUCAGACAAGUCAAAAGAAUUGAUUCUUCACAAUUGUAUAUACGUAUACACACACUUUGCCCAAAUCCCAUUGUAUCCAGGCUGUAAUUUUUAUAUUAAACGAACAUAUUUUAUUUUAUGUCAGCAAUAUUGAUGCAGGCUGGGGGAACAACAGCUUCAGGAUGGUCAACUACCCUUCGGAUCAUUGCAAGUGGGAUGGCAUCACUUGCAAUUCAGAUGGAAGCAUAAUCAGGCUAAAAUUAUCAUGGUGUGAUGUUGACUUCAAAAGGUAAUCUUCGUAAAAUUAUCAUGGUAUAAUAUACGUAUUUAUUUUCGCAUACAUAAAUAAAUAACAAAAUUGUAAUUAAUUGGAUACAGCUUCAGCUUUUGGACUGGUUUGUGAAAAUCAGAAAAAUUUAAAAAUGCUCCUCUUGAACAAUCAAAAUCUACUUUAUACGUGAACAAAGGGGAUGAUUCGUAAAGAUAGUUCAUCAAUGUUUGAUUGCUUUCAAGCGUGUCGAUUACUUUCAGAAAGAAAGACUUCAUUUGAUCUCGUCACAAAACAUAAUUUCACUUUGAAUUUGAAAAAGAAUAAUGAAGUUCAUACAAGUGCUGUUAUGACCUUUUUUUUUUUGUUUUCUUUUUUUCUCGACGUUGUUUUGUGAAUCAUAAGGGUUAAUUUAAUACGGUGGGUUCGCUUGUAUGAAGCGCACUUAUUGUACCAUUCUGUUGCAAGCAAUGAAAAAACGCUAUAAUUUUUUUAAGUUUCUACAAGUAUUAUGUUAUCUUAUAUCUAAAUGUGCAUCUCUAGUCUUUGCUCUCAGUUCAGGUUCUCUAAAAGUAUAUUAAUUAUGAAAAGCAUUAAAGGUUCCGAAACUCUAUUUUGCGGGGAAAAAGAACCUCCAUUUUUGGUUUUUUAUUAUAUGAGAUUUUACUAUGCUCGUAAUAACUUAAUCGAAAUUAAACAUAUCACUGGUCUACAUUUUUUUAUAAGAUUUUGUGACUUGCUAAUUAAGAUGAGUAUCACCAUCAAAUCAACAAGCUUAUACCUUCAAAGAAAAAUAGACUAUAAGUCGGGAGAAAGAAGAAAAAAAAAAAAAAAAGAAUCUUCGCAAUUUAUGCUGUUGGUUGUGAGUUCAUGAAACAAAUAAAAAUAUGAAAUCAAACAUUUAUUCAAAAUUUAAAAUUAAAAAAAAAACUCUAUAUCUACAGUAAUCUGUUCAAACCACAUAGGUGGAGCAAUAUAGUUCCAAGACGUGGUUUUAAAACAUGUCUUUGUGAUAAACAAUAUCGUGAUACUUGCGCCAAUUCCCAUGGCAAUAAUUGCCUACAUUUAUCCAAGAUCCAUGGCCAGGUUUAGAAUGUGCUAGUCUUCUUUCACUUUCAUAAAUAACCACUACUAGGUAAUCAGAGUGUCGGUCUAAAUUUUUCGGAGAUACAACGUCAAUGUAUGUGCCCGGAGUUGAAGCUGAACGCGCUUAAAUAUGUUCGGAAUUUGAAGUUGAACGCCUGGAAAAGGAUGCAGACUGAAGAAAGGCAAUUCCUGGAAUUUGUCUUUGGUAAGAAAACAUGGCUGCUUAUGCCCUUUGAAAGACUGAAGAAACCAAAUUGAUUAUUGCUGCAAUUUAGUGGCACAUGUACGAGGAGAGGCAUCCAAUUAAACUUGUUCAUAAAAGUAUUGCUGAUAGUUGCAGCCGAUCUCCAGACAAAAUCUUCGUACAAUUUUAUCCGCCAGCAAUUUCGACCAAGAGACCUUGAUGCAGUUCAGACCAAUUCGCCAGUUGAACAUCAAGUUGCCUAGGCAUUGAGAAUUAGGUCAAUAAAAUAUAUCCUGGGUCACUUACAAAAGAUGAAAUAAGUGAAAAAGGAAAGAUGACGUAAUAAUUUCUUAGUGAGAAAAGUUAGUUAAUUUGCAAAGGUCUUAGAUAAUCAAUUUGAUGUAAAAAUAUCAAAAUUUUUUUUAAUCAGUGAAAUAUUCAACCUCUAGUUUCAGCACUACAAAUGAAUUAAAUAGAAUAAUGAUAGAUAUUUUAAAAUUUUAUCCCAAAUGAUGUGAUAUGUAAUGUAUCAUUCAUUAAGUAGUUGAUGAUUUUUUUAUAAAUUUUAAGUGGAUUAAUUAUAUUAUUUUACCAACGAGUAAAUAAAUGUCACAUCAUUAGAGAAGAAAUUUUAAGGUAAAACUUUUCAAAUAUAUAUCACUACUCCAUUAAAUAUGGUAUAAAAAAUCUAAUAGGGACCAAAAAUAUAAAAACCCAUUAAAAAUAAAAAAUAUAAAAGUCAAUUCCUAAUUAGAAGAAUGAAAGUUUGUUUCUCCUACAAUCAUUUCACUAGAUUUUAAAUAAAUUAAUUAAUGAAAAUUUUUAAUAACAAAUCGGUGCCUAAACCUAACGUCUUUUUUUUUUUGGUCUUAUCCACGAGGUAUCCUGGGGAGGGCCCCAACUGUGGGAGGCACCUUUAAGCCCGUACCACAACCCAGACUAGAAGUCCCCGCUCGAACCGGGAGGCACAGGUUCUCCCAACAAAGGCGACUUCCCCGCGACUCGAACUGGGGAGCAAACCCAGUCAAGCCACUUAAGGGGACUCCAUUGCCAGUGGAGCCAACACUUUGUUGGUUAAACCUAACGUCUUUGACAGUGCUGCCAAUAUCACUCACAACUUACAAGAAAAUUUUGGUAUUAAAUUUAUUAAUGUUCUCAAGGAAUUUUUAGUUUGACUUUGCAUUCUCAGACCCAUUUGUCACAUAACACGUUAGCAAAGACCUUUAAUGAGAAUAUUAAAACAGCUGUCGAAUAAGCAUCUUGACGACGACUUUUUGACAUAUAUGCAUGCCUCCUUUUGUGAACAAAUUUGAAACAUAAAAGAAAAUUUUGAUCCAUGUGAGAGCUGGAGUAUUUUAUAGCUUUUGACCUCAUUAAUUAUGAGUAAGGGAAUAUUUCUACGUCACUAACGAUUAACAUGAUCACUAUAUAAAGGGAAGCAAAGUAUGUUUAGCAUCAAGUCAGAAAACACAAUUUUUAGGAAAUGGGAACUCUAGGACAGGCGAAGCAAUGGCCUCAAUUGGUUUGUGCUAUGGCAUUUUUGCUCAUAGCCACCACAACCGCAAAGGCAUCAGCUGAUGAUUAUGGCCCAGCACCAUCACCAAAGCAUGCAAAGCACCCUCCAAGCCAUUACAAGCCACCGAAACCACCAAAGCACCACGAGUCACCACCACCAUACUACUAUAACUCACCACCUCCACCAGUACAUUCUCCUCCACCACCUUAUUACUAUAAGUCUCCACCACCACCUUCUCUAUCUCCACCACCUCCUUACUAUUAUAAAUCACCACCACCACCGAAACAUUCUCCUCCACCUCCUUACUACUACAAAUCACCACCUCCUCCUUCUCCCUCUCCACCUCCACCAUAUUAUUACAAGUCUCCCCCACCACCAUCUCCAUCUCCCCCACCGCCUUACUACUAUAAAUCCCCACCACCACCAAAAUAUUCUCCUCCACCACCUUACUACUAUAAGUCACCACCUCCACCAGUGAAAUCUCCACCUCCGCCAUAUUACUAUAAAUCACCACCACCACCAAAACAUUCUCCCCCACCACCUUACUACUACAAGUCACCACCACCACCAAUGCAUUCUCCCCCACCACCUUACUAUUACAAAUCUCCACCACCACCAAAGCAUUCUCCUCCACCACCACCUUAUUACAAAUCACCACCCCCACCACCACCAAAACAUUCUCCCCCACCACCUUACUACUAUAAAUCUCCACCGCCACCAAAACAUUCUCCUCCUCCACCAUACUACUAUAAGUCACCACCUCCACCUGUAAAGUCUCCACCUCCACCACCUCACUACAAAUCACCACCACCACCAAAACAGUCUCCUCCACCACCUUAUUACUACAAGUCACCACCCCCACCAGUAAAGUCUCCACCACAGCCACCAAAGCAUUCUCCCCCGCCACCUUACUAUUACAAAUCACCACCUCCACCAAUGAAGUCUCCACCACCGCCACCUUACUAUAAAUCACCACCACCACCAAAUUCUCCCCCUCCACCUUACUAUUACAAAUCACCACCACCACCAAAGCAUUCCCCCCCGCCACCUUAUUACUAUAGAUCUCCACCACCACCAAAGUAUUCUCCCCCACCACCUUACUACUAUAAGUCACCACCUCCACCAAAGCAUUCUCCCCCGCCUCCUUACUAUUACAAAUCUCCACCACCACCUUACUAAUACAAAUCUCCACCACCACCAUCUCUAUCCCCACCUCCAUCUUCCAUUUACACCGCCACCAUCUACAUCACCUCCACCACCAUCUCCAUCAUUGUCACUAUUGCCUUCCGACUACUCCAUGUGAUCACCACCUCCCGAAGACUUCUAAGUUCAAUGUCCCUUCUUGAAACAAGUUU